AUUGGGAUGAAUGUUUCCUCAAUAUAAAUUGGACAUCAUAAUUCAAAGACAAAGCCAAAUGAAGUGCCUAAAAAAUCAUUACCACUGAUUUUAAAUGAUUUGUCAAAAUGAUACCUAUAACAUGAAAUUAUGUUAGUCAACCUGCAGAAGAACCUCGAUUUUCAAAAAGAUGCCCGGAUUGAAAGUUGGCAAAAACUUGUCGAAUGAUAAUGCCCUAAAAGAAUUAAGGCAUCUUCUACAUUUUUUGAAACCUGGAUUGCCAGUUAAAAGGUCUUGCCAACUGAUGAUGGCCUAACAAAAAAUUAAGGCAUCUUGGGAAUAUAUGGGAAAAUAUUCACUUGCCAGUCGGCCUAUAAAGAUGAUAAUACCCAAACAACUCCUUGUCUUUAUUUGGCUUUGUGAUUCAUCUUAGUCGUUGUGUGAUAUUCCACGGAUUGCGAAGAAAACCCCAAAAAUAUUCUAAAAAUAGUGCUGAUGUAUCUUAUCUAUGAAUAAAAAUACAAAAGAUUUUGUUUAAUAUAACGUGA